UGGGGAUUAGCCAAGUGUGUUAAGGCAUUAGACUUUGAAUCUAACAACGGUGGUUCGAAUCCACCAUCCCUAGCCA
rnacentral:tRNA from 1 species